GAUGAACGCUGGCGGCGUGCCUAAUACAUGCAAGUCGAGCGAACAGACGAGGAGCUUGCUCCUCUGACGUUAGCGGCGGACGGGUGAGUAACACGUGGAUAACCUACCUAUAAGUCUGGGAUAACUUCGGGAAACCGGAGCUAAUACCGGAUAAUAUAUUGAACCGCAUGGUUCAAUAGUGAAAGACGGUUUUGCUGUCACUUAUAGAUGGAUCCGCGCCGCAUUAGCUAGUUGGUAAGGUAACGGCUUACCAAGGCAACGAUGCGUAGCCGACCUGAGAGGGUGAUCGGCCACACUGGAACUGAGACACGGUCCAGACUCCUACGGGAGGCAGCAGUAGGGAAUCUUCCGCAAUGGGCGAAAGCUUGACGGAGCAACGCCGCGUGAGUGAUGAAGGUCUUCGGAUCGUAAAACUCUGUUAUUAGGGAAGAACAAAUGUGUAAGUAACUAUGCACGUCUUGACGGUACCUAAACAGAAAGCCACGGCUAACUACGUG
rnacentral:rRNA from 1 species